GUACUUAAUUCAGCAACACAUUCACCAACAUUGGAACAAUACAGAGAAGAUUAGCAUCACCCCUCAGCAAGGAUGACCUGACAAUUUGUAAAACAUUCCAUAUUAUU